UACAGAGGUCCCAAGCGUUGUUCGGAUUCACUGGGCGUAAAGGGUGCGUAGGUGGCAGGGUAAGUUUGAUGUGAAAUCUCCGGGCUUAACCCGGAAACUGCAUUGAAUACUAUCCUGCUCGAGGGUUGGAGGGGGGACUGGAAUACUUGGUGUAGCAGUGAAAUGCGUAGAUAUCAAGUGGAACACCAGUGGCGAAGGCGAGUCCCUGGACAACUCCUGACACUGAGGCACGAAAGCUAGGGGAGCAAACAGG
rnacentral:rRNA from 1 species